rnacentral:rRNA from 1 species
UACGGAGGAUCCGAGCGUUAUCCGGAUUUAUUGGGUUUAAAGGGAGCGUAGGUGGAUUGUUAAGUCAGUUGUGAAAGUUUGCGGCUCAACCGUAAAAUUGCAGUUGAAACUGGCAGUCUUGAGUACAGUAGAGGUGGGCGGAAUUCGUGGUGUAGCGGUGAAAUGCUUAGAUAUCACGAAGAACUCCGAUUGGGAAGGCAGCUCACUGGACUGCAACUGACACUGAGGCUCGAAAGUGUGGGUAUCAAACAGG